CACCGCCCUUUCACGGCGGUAACAGGGGUUCGAGUCCCCUAGGGGACG
rfam:Pseudomonas pseudoalcaligenes KF707 = NBRC 110670 strain KF707 ctg1751, whole genome shotgun sequence.